AGUGCGCAUGCGUCUUCCCCGGGAGCCCACAGGGGUCUGAGGUUGAUCCCGGAGGCGCGAGGAGUCGGUACGGGUCACGGUUGUCCCGGCCCCUGAGGCGCAGGGUAGGAGUGGGGUCCCAUAGAUGUCAGACUCGGUCUGCAAGUAUCGUCGGCCUUCAUUUGUAGGUGAACAAGCCGAGAUUCUUGUGGCGUGAUAGGACUUGUGGUCGCCACGAAGGGGCCAGCUCCAUCGGGAAUCUGUAAUCGCCCAGCAGUUUCCCCGCCCCGCGCAUGUGAAAUAUGUAGCCCUCCGUAUUCAUUCUAGAAACUUCUGGGAACCCAGCGCCUUGGGGAGAUAGAACCGAGCCAGAUGUUCCCCCGCUGCGAGGAACUCAGAACCUGCAUAAAUAGAGAAGGUGGCAGGCAUAUAGUAGGGAGACCAGUAAUUCCAUUGAGCGCUGAUUUUGGGCCAGGCACGAUACAAGCAUUAUCUCUGCAAAACAUCUUAUUCAUUCGUUCAGCAAACGUUUCUUGAACUCUCAGAAGGAUGAAGGAAGUUUACCCAGCUAGUAAGUGGAAGAACUGGUAUUGGAACCCGAUCUGUCUGACUGCAGAGUUCCACAAUCUUGCUGCCAAGUUAUGUGGGGAUAACAAUGACUAUUUUAUGUCAUCUAUUCAUUCUUCCAGCCUAUCAGCCUCCUGUGUCUUAAGCAGAGUGGAGACGGGGGUGGAUCCAGGCGCACCAGUUCCACGCCACAGGCUUCUGCAGUUCCUGCAAACUGUUCCCAUCCCGCCCCGCGUUGCACGUCGGGAUUUGGAGUUCGCGAUGCUGAGAGCUGUUUCCACGUGGCGAUUCCGACUUGACCCGUCGUGCUCCGGCGCCCGCCUAGGGGGACCGAGGAGUUUGUCAUUUCUUGCCUCGUUAGGGUGCGGAACGAAAACCAUUUGAUUUAUCCUAGAAAAGGAAAGGCUGAAGCCAACUAAGUAAAAGUUUUCCAUUAAAUGAAUGCACGUUGUAGAAAAGGAAUGUUCAACUGCCCUACAAAUCCAGAGGUAGAAAUGGGGGAGGGGAGAAGGAAUUAAAUAGGACACACACACACACACACAAACACACACACACACACACUCUUGGGGGGGUGUUUGGGUAUGGAAAGUAGGUCCGAUUGCAGAAUUUAUUUUAAAUGAUUCCCGCAACCUUGGGAAGUUGGGAAGUGGUGAAUCCGCUGCCGAAAGGCAUUUGUGCUUAUGGUAAAUCCAGGUCUUAAAAUUCUGUAGACUGGUAGCUAUAUGGAUAUGAUUUUAAUAGACGAGUUUCAGGAAGACUCUCUCAAACUGUUUUUUGUUGUUGUUGUUUAAAAACUUACUUGAAAUAUAUUGGAAACCACAUAUACAUAAUCUCUCACACACACUACAUAAAGAAGUAAAAAUUCCUUUCCCUACUUCUUUCAUCCUAUCCAAUUUGUAGAGUCAUAACCAUUCUUAAUAAUUUGAUGGGUAUUCAUUUCUUCCCUAAAUUUAUAUGUCUAGAACUAGAGCUAGAGUGUAUGCCUACAUACACACACACACACACCCAUACAUAUAUAUUCAAACAUAAUAUAUGUAUAUCCACAUGUAUUCAAACACAGAAUUAUGUUUAGAUAAUUAUGGUUAUAUGCUGGUAUGCCAGAGCCAGACUGCCUGGCUUCGGUUCCAGGCCCUAGUUGGAUAGCUUUGGGCUACUCAGCCUCUUUAUGCCUGGACUUCUUCAUCUUUGAAAUGGGAUAAUAAUAAUACUUAUCCCAUAAAGUUAUUGUGAGAAUUAAAUGAAAUAAUAUAUGAAAAGCCCUUAGAACAGGCAUUGACACAUUGUGAAGGUAAUGUAUUAGCUAUUUUGAUGAUUAUGCAUUUUGUCUGCAACUUGAUUUUUAUUUAACAUAUGUGGGAAAGUAGACAAACAUAGCCAUUUUCAAUGAUUCCAUAAUAUUCCAUAGCACGAGUAUACCAUUGUUUAUCGAACCAUUUCUCUCUUGAGAAACAUUGCAGAUUUUUUUUGCAGUUUCUACGAUUACAAAUAAUGCUGCAAUAAACAUCUUUCUACAUAUAGUCUUUAUAAAUUUGCGUUUAUUUCUUAGAAUUUAUUAUUGAAUUAGAGUAACUGGUUCAAAUUGGAUGCAAUUCCCAUGGCAGAAGGUACAUUGUUGAACUCACUGGCAAGCCUGAUGAGGCACUGGUGGAAUUCAUGGAGAUACUGCUUAAUUGCUCUCCCUGGACAAUGUGUCAUUUUGCACUUACACCAGCAAUGUAUGAGAGCGCCUGUUUCCCCAUAGCCUCACCAACAGAGUAUUUUGUCAAUAGUUUGGAGUUUCUGCCAAUCUGUAAAGGAAAAUAAGUGUAGUUUUAAUUUGCAUUUCUCUAUUUCAGUGAGGUUGAACAUUUUUUCAUAUAUUUGGUCAACUGCCAGUUCUGGUUCUUUUUCUUUUUUUUUUUCUUUUUGAGACAGAGUCUCACUCUGUCUCCCAGGCUGGAGUGUAGUGGCACGAUCUUGGCUCACUGCAACCUCUGCCUCCGAGGUUCAAGUGAUUUUCCUACCUAGGCCCCCCUGAAUAGCUGGGAUUACAGGCUCACACCACUACACCUGGCUGAUUUUUGUAUUUUUAAUAAAGGUGGGGUUUUGCCAUAUUGGCCAGGCUGGUCUCAAACUCCUGACUUCAGGUGAUCCACCUGCCUUGGCCUCUCAAAGUGCUGGGAUUACAGGUGUGAGCCACCGCACCCAGCCUCUUUUUCUUUUCUUUUCUUUCUUUCUUUUUGUUUAGAAACAGGGUUGUGCUCUGUUGCCCAGGCUGGAGUACAGUAGCACAAUCAUAGCUCACUGCAGCCUCAAACUCUUGGGCUCAAGCAGUCCUUCCUCAGCCUCCAGAGUAGCUGGGACAACAGGCACCUGCCACCACACCUAAGUUUUGUAGUUUUUGUAGAAAUGGGGUCUUUCUGUGUUGCUCAGGCUAGUUCUGGUUCUUUCUCUGAAUUUAGAUUUCAAAAUGAGUCUUGAAUAUGAAAUCAGUUUAGAAUAUAAUCUCUGUGGGCCUUCUGUUUAUUUUAUUCACUACUAUACCCCAGGUACCUAGAAGAGUAACUGGCACAUGGCAGAUGCUCACUAAAUAUUUGUUGAACGAAUGACUGGUUGUUGCUAGUCAGUAACUGAGUAUGUGAUCAACUGUAGACAAACAAAAGUAAUUCCUGACUCUCCCAAGGCUGAGGCUGUUUUUAAAAGAUUAUGGUAAAAAUACAACAAAACAUAAAAGUUAUCAUCUUAACAAUUUUUUAACCUUGGCAUGGAAAAUUGAUCGAAGUUGGCCAUUUUUAAGUAUACAACUCUGUAGUGUUACUUAUGUUCACGUUGUUGUGCUACCAUCACCAACAUCCACCCACAGAACUCUUCAUUUUGUAAAACUGAUACUCUGUACCCAUUAAACACAAUCCUCAUUUCCCACUCAGUCCAGCUCCUGGCAACUACCAUGCCACUUUCUGUCUCUGUGAAUUUGACUGCCCUAGGUCCCUCAUAUAAGAGGAAUCACAUAGUAUUUUUUUUGUAUCUGCCUUAUUUCACUUAGCAUAAUGUCCUCAAGGUUCAUCCAUAUUGUUGCAUGUUUCAGAAUUUCCUUCCGUUUAAAGGCUGAAUGAUAAUCCAUUGGCUGUAGAUACCACAUUUUAUUUAUCCAUUUAUCUGUCAAUGGACACUUCUUCGGUUGUUUCCCCCUUUUGCUAUUGUGGAUAAUGCCACUACGAACGUGAUCGUACAAAUAUCUGUUCCAGUCCCUGUUUUCACUGAAAUAAAUGGAACUACUGUAUCAUA
rnacentral:lncRNA from 1 species